rnacentral:rRNA from 1 species
GACGAACGCUGGCGGCGUGCUUAACACAUGCAAGUCGAACGGGAAGUCCCUGCUUUUGUGGGGUGCUCGAGUGGCGAACGGGUGAGUAACACGUGAGUAACCUGCCCUUGACUUUGGGAUAACUUCAGGAAACUGGGGCUAAUACCGGAUAGGAGCUCCUGCUGCAUGGUGGGGGUUGGAAAGUUUCGGCGGUUGGGGAUGGACUCGCGGCUUAUCAGCUUGUUGGUGGGGUAGUGGCUUACCAAGGCUUUGACGGGUAGCCGGCCUGAGAGGGUGACCGGCCACAUUGGGACUGAGAUACGGCCCAGACUCCUACGGGAGGCAGCAGUGGGGAAUAGUGCACAAUGGGCGGAAGCCUGAUGCAGCAACGCCGCGUGCGGGAUGACGGCCUGCGGGUUGUAAACCGCUUUCGCCUGUGACGAAGCGUGAGUGACGGUAAUGGGUAAAGAAGCACCGGCUAACUACGUG